GGGAAGGUGCCAGAGUGGUCGAACGGGGCCGCCUGCUAAGCGGUUAAGGAGGCUUAAAUCUCCUUCGAGGGUUCGAAUCCCUCCCUUCCCGCCA
rnacentral:tRNA from 1 species